rnacentral:rRNA from 1 species
UUUGGUGGUUAUAGAGCAGGUGAACACCUCUUACCAUUCCGAACAGAGAAGUUAAGCCCUGCCUCGCCGAUGAUACUGCUACGGUGGGAAAGUAGGUCGCUGCCAGAU